rnacentral:lncRNA from 1 species
CUUUGGGCUUCUCUGCCUGCAUGCUCAGGGAGGAGUCUAGGCACGCUUGUACCCGAGAGGAGUUCGAGAACGUGGUCGAACUUCUCUCGGCCCUUUUUCGACUGCGAGCUUACUCGAGUCUCCCGCCUGUCGCUCUCUUGCGGUCUCCUCAUCCUUCAUCUUGAAGGCCUCUUCUGCUCGAGCGUGCAAAUCAGCAAAAUCCCUGGGGUACUUCUUUUCCAGGGAGAAUAGAAGGUC